UACAGAGGGUGCGAGCGUUGUUCGGAUUCAUUGGGCGUAAAGGGUGCGUAGGUGGCGUCGUGAGUCAGGUGUGAAAUUUCGGAGCUUAACUCCGAAACUGCAUUUGAUACUGCGGUGCUUGAGGACUGGAGAGGAGACUGGAAUUUACGGUGUAGCAGUGAAAUGCGUAGAGAUCGUAAGGAAGACCAGUGGCGAAGGCGGGUCUCUGGACAGUUCCUGACACUGAGGCACGAAGGCCAGGGGAGCAAACGGG
rnacentral:rRNA from 1 species